rnacentral:rRNA from 1 species
UAACCUCGUCGUCUGAGUGGUGACCUGGUGCUUGCAUCAUGACUUACAUUUGAGUGAGUGGCGAACUGGUGAGUAACACGUGGGAAACCUGCCCAGAAGCGGGGGAUAACACCUGGAAACAGAUGCUAAUACCGCAUAACAACUUGGACCGCAUGGUCCGAGUUUGAAAGAUGGCUUCGGCUAUCACUUUUGGAUGGUCCCGCGGCGUAUUAGCUAGAUGGUGGGGUAACGGCUCACCAUGGCAAUGAUACGUAGCCGACCUGAGAGGGUAAUCGGCCACAUUGGGACUGAGACACGGCCCAAACUCCUACGGGAGGCAGCAGUAGGGAAUCUUCCACAAUGGACGAAAGUCUGAUGGAGCAACGCCGCGUGAGUGAAGAAGGGUUUCGGCUCGUAAAACUCUGUUGUUAAAGAAGAACAUAUCUGAGAGUAACUGUUCAGGUAUUGACGGUAUUUAACCAGAAAGCCACGGCUAACUACGUGCCAGCAGCCGCGGUAAUACGUAGGUGGCAAGCGUUGUCCGGAUUUAUUGGGCGUAAAGCGAGCGCAGGCGGUUUUUUAAGUCUGAUGUGAAAGCCUUCGGCUCAACCGAAGAAGUGCAUCGGAAACUGGGAAACUUGAGUGCAGAAGAGGACAGUGGAACUCCAUGUGUAGCGGUGAAAUGCGUAGAUAUAUGGAAGAACACCAGUGGCGAAGGCGGCUGUCUGGUCUGUAACUGACGCUGAGGCUCGAAAGUAUGGGUAGCAAACAGGAUUAGAUACCCUGGUAGUCCAUACCGUAAACGAUGAAUGCUAAGUGUUGGAGGGUUUCCGCCCUUCAGUGCUGCAGCUAACGCAUUAAGCAUUCCGCCUGGGGAGUACGGCCGCAAGGCUGAAACUCAAAGGAAUUGACGGGGGCCCGCACAAGCGGUGGAGCAUGUGGUUUAAUUCGAAGCUACGCGAAGAACCUUACCAGGUCUUGACAUACUAUGCAAAUCUAAGAGAUUAGACGUUCCCUUCGGGGACAUGGAUACAGGUGGUGCAUGGUUGUCGUCAGCUCGUGUCGUGAGAUGUUGGGUUAAGUCCCGCAACGAGCGCAACCCUUAUUAUCAGUUGCCAGCAUUAAGUUGGGCACUCUGGUGAGACUGCCGGUGACAAACCGGAGGAAGGUGGGGAUGACGUCAAAUCAUCAUGCCCCUUAUGACCUGGGCUACACACGUGCUACAAUGGAUGGUACAACGAGUUGCGAACUCGCGAGAGUAAGCUAAUCUCUUAAAGCCAUUCUCAGUUCGGAUUGUAGGCUGCAACUCGCCUACAUGAAGUCGGAAUCGCUAGUAAUCGCGGAUCAGCAUGCCGCGGUGAAUACGUUCCCGGGCCUUGUACACACCGCCCGUCACACCAUGAGAGUUUGUAACACCCAAAGUGCGGUGGCGUAGCUCUACCAAG